AGUGAACGCUGGCGGUAGGCCUAACACAUGCAAGUCGAACGGCAGCACAGUAAGAGCUUGCUCUUACGGGUGGCGAGUGGCGGACGGGUGAGGAAUACAUCGGAAUCUACUUUUUCGUGGGGGAUAACGUAGGGAAACUUACGCUAAUACCGCAUACGACCUACGGGUGAAAGCAGGGGAUCUUCGGACCUUGCGCGAUUGAAUGAGCCGAUGUCGGCGUAGCUAGUUGGCGGGGUAAAGGCGCACCAAGGCGACGAUCCGUAGCUGGUCUGAGAGGAUGAUCACCCACACGGGAACUGAGACACGGUCCAGACUCCUACGGGAGGCAGCAGUGGGGAAUCUUGGACGAUGGGCGCAAGCCUGAUCCAGCCAUACCGCGUGAGUGAAGAAGGCCUUCGGGUUGUAAAGCCCUCUUGUUGGGAAAGAAAAGCAGCACGUUAAUACCCCGCUGUUCUGACGGUACCCAAAGAAUAAGCACCGGCUAACUUCGUG
rnacentral:rRNA from 1 species